rnacentral:rRNA from 1 species
CCCUUAGAUGUUCUGGGCCGCACGCGCGCUACACUGAAGGGAUCAGCGUGUUUUCCCUUUCCGAGAGGAACGGGUAACCCGCUGAACCCCCUUCGUGGUAGGGAUCGGAGCUUGCAAUUGUUCUCCGUGAACCAGGAAUUCCCAGUAAGCGCAAGUCAUAAGCUUGCGUUGAUUACGUCCCUGCCCUUUGUACACACCGCCCGUCGCUACUACCGAUUGAACGUUUUAGUGAGGUAUUUGGACUGGGCCUUGGGAGGUUUCGGCCUCCCUUGUUGCUCGGAAAGACUCCCAAACUUGAGCGUUUAGAGGAAGGAGAAGUCGUAACA